rnacentral:rRNA from 2 species
GCUCAGGACGAACGCUGGCGGCGUGCCUAAUACAUGCAAGUCGAACGAACUCUGGUAUUGAUUGGUGCUUGCAUCAUGAUUUACAUUUGAGUGAGUGGCGAACUGGUGAGUAACACGUGGGAAACCUGCCCAGAAGCGGGGGAUAACACCUGGAAACAGAUGCUAAUACCGCAUAACAACUUGGACCGCAUGGUCCGAGUUUGAAAGAUGGCUUCGGCUAUCACUUUUGGAUGGUCCCGCGGCGUAUUAGCUAGAUGGUGAGGUAACGGCUCACCAUGGCAAUGAUACGUAGCCGACCUGAGAGGGUAAUCGGCCACAUUGGGACUGAGACACGGCCCAAACUCCUACGGGAGGCAGCAGUAGGGAAUCUUCCACAAUGGACGAAAGUCUGAUGGAGCAACGCCGCGUGAGUGAAGAAGGGUUUCGGCUCGUAAAACUCUGUUGUUAAAGAAGAACAUAUCUGAGAGUAACUGUUCAGGUAUUGACGGUAUUUAACCAGAAAGCCACGGCUAACUACGUGCCAGCAGCCGCGGUAAUACGUAGGUGGCAAGCGUUGUCCGGAUUUAUUGGGCGUAAAGCGAGCGCAGGCGGUUUUUUAAGUCUGAUGUGAAAGCCUUCGGCUCAACCGAAGAAGUGCAUCGGAAACUGGGAAACUUGAGUGCAGAAGAGGACAGUGGAACUCCAUGUGUAGCGGUGAAAUGCGUAGAUAUAUGGAAGAACACCAGUGGCGAAGGCGGCUGUCUGGUCUGUAACUGACGCUGAGGCUCGAAAGUAUGGGUAGCAAACAGGAUUAGAUACCCUGGUAGUCCAUACCGUAAACGAUGAAUGCUAAGUGUUGGAGGGUUUCCGCCCUUCAGUGCUGCAGCUAACGCAUUAAGCAUUCCGCCUGGGGAGUACGGCCGCAAGGCUGAAACUCAAAGGAAUUGACGGGGGCCCGCACAAGCGGUGGAGCAUGUGGUUUAAUUCGAAGCUACGCGAAGAACCUUACCAGGUCUUGACAUACUAUGCAAAUCUAAGAGAUUAGACGUUCCCUUCGGGGACAUGGAUACAGGUGGUGCAUGGUUGUCGUCAGCUCGUGUCGUGAGAUGUUGGGUUAAGUCCCGCAACGAGCGCAACCCUUAUUAUCAGUUGCCAGCAUUAAGUUGGGCACUCUGGUGAGACUGCCGGUGACAAACCGGAGGAAGGUGGGGAUGACGUCAAAUCAUCAUGCCCCUUAUGACCUGGGCUACACACGUGCUACAAUGGAUGGUACAACGAGUUGCGAACUCGCGAGAGUAAGCUAAUCUCUUAAAGCCAUUCUCAGUUCGGAUUGUAGGCUGCAACUCGCCUACAUGAAGUCGGAAUCGCUAGUAAUCGCGGAUCAGCAUGCCGCGGUGAAUA